UACGUAGGUGACGAGCGUUAUCCGGAAUUACUGGGCGUAAAGCGCACGCAAGCGGUCUGACAAGUCUGGCGUGAAAUCCCCUGGCUUAACCAGGGGCGGUCGCUGGAAACGGUCAGGCUUGAGGCGAUGAGAGGGGUGCAGAAUUCCCGGUGUAGUGGUGGAAUGCGUAGAGAUCGGGAGGAAUACCAGUGGCGAAAGCGGCACCCUGGCGUCGUACUGACGCACAUGUGCGAAAGCGUGGGGAGCGAACGGG
rnacentral:rRNA from 1 species